UACACAGUGAACAGAGGCGACGUGCGUG
rnacentral:sRNA from 1 species